rnacentral:lncRNA from 1 species
CCUAGUUGAUAAUUCCAUGCAUGCCAUGCCAGGAUCAGAGCCCCAGCAGCUAGCUAGCAAGGCCUGUUUGGUUGUUUAGACACAUAUAUGAAGUAUUAAAUAUAAACUAUUUAUAAAACUAAAAACAUAGUUAGAGAGUAAUUUACGAGACGAAUUUUUUAAGCCUAAAUAGUCUAUAAUUGAACACCUCAAACUAAACACCC